rnacentral:misc_RNA from 1 species
AAGACUAUAGACCUGCGGAGUACCUGCGGAAGGAUCAUUAUCGGCUUGCCGGACCCAGGUCCUGGCUCCCAACCGUGUCUACUGUACGCUGUUGUUUUCUGCAGUCUCACCGCGGGUGAGGGUGAUAGAUGUAGCCCUUUAAACCGCGAAGCGCCGAGACCAGCCUUAAUGGUCGAGGGCGGGGUCGCUCUGACGGCUCUUAUGAAGCGGGGCCUGUGGUUGUGGCUGCGGAAGACCGAC